rnacentral:lncRNA from 1 species
UGGCUUGAAUUAUUGAGUUUAGAAAUAAUUAUUUUGAGUUGAGUAAAUUUGUUUCUAAAACAAAAUGUAGCAAGAAAAAUUAAUAAACUUGAAACUAAGAUGGUAUAUAUGAUGUAAGCAUUAAGAACAAAAUCUCACUAUAAAUUGAACUAUGAAUUUCAUCAAAAUCCCAACUUUAUAUAUACAUCAUGAUUCUCUUGGUCUUUUCAAGGCGAAAGACAAUAGCUAGCUAGCCAUUUUUAAAGUACCAAAAUACCCACGGUUUUACCCCAUUAAUUCACCACAAAAAGAGAACUACUAUCAUCACUAUAAGUUUGAGAAAAACGUGGGUAUUUUGGAUAAUUAAAAAAAAAAGACAAAAAAUAAAUAAAUUCAAGAACCUAAAAGUUUAAAGAGAAAAUUGAUCUCUACUUGUUAUGAAGAGGAUCUGGACAACUUGGUACUCUUCUUUUGCUGUCUUGUAAUAAAGUUCCAUUUCCAUUUCUCGUACUGUUGUUGAGAUCAGAAAAAUACUUUUGAAACAGCUCCGUUUGAUUCUCGUUGUUGUUGUUGGAAUUUUGUUCUACUAUUGCCACUGUAUUUUCAGGAAAUAUCCGUAUUGCCCCAACGAAAAAUUGUCCACCAAAGCCGAAAAAAUCAUGAGGAAAAACACAAGAGAGGAAGAAUAAUACAUGGUUAUUUUGGUUCUAUUUCCGCCGGAAAAUGACAUGGCCAGUGAGGAAAAAACACCCACAUACAGAAGAAAUAAUCAAAUGUACAAAGUUUGUUUGGUUUUUCUGAAUUUUGAGCCUUUUGAGCAGAAUGAUUUUUCUUUAUCUCUCAAUAUUCUCUCAUUUUUAUGUAGAAAAUAAGAGGAGUGUUGUGUUUAAGAGUGUUAUUUCCAACUACUCAAGUAUGAGUUGACGGCUUAGUGUUUGUAUACAUAAAGAAAGAGAGACAUAGAAACAAAGAAAUAAAGAAAUGAAUGGGUGUGGG